rnacentral:rRNA from 1 species
AUUGAACGCUGGCGGCAGGCCUAACACAUGCAAGUCGAACGGUAACAGGAAGAAGCUUGCUUCUUUGCUGACGAGUGGCGGACGGGUGAGUAAUGUCUGGGAAACUGCCUGAUGGAGGGGGAUAACUACUGGAAACGGUAGCUAAUACCGCAUAACGUCGCAAGACCAAAAGAGGGGGGACCCUUCGGGGCCUCUUGCCAUCGGAUGUGCCCAGAUGGGAUUAGCUAGUAGGUGGGGUAACGGCUCACCUAGGCGACGAUCCCUAGCUGGUCUGAGAGGAUGACCAGCCACACUGGAACUGAGACACGGUCCAGACUCCUACGGGAGGCAGCAGUGGGGAAUAUUGCACAAUGGGCGCAAGCCUGAUGCAGCCAUGCCGCGUGUAUGAAGAAGGCCUUC